UGUAGUUAUAAAAUUAGGCUGUAGCUUAUUUUUUUUUAGUUUGAUAUAACUGUAGAGUUUUCAUCUUUGUAACUAAGAGUUUAGGAUAUCAUAAAUUAUAAGAUUUAAGUAAAUACUUCGGACAUA